UCCACCAUCUAUUCCCCACCCGAACAUGCAGAGGAGCUCGCGACAGUCGCAUCGGCGACGCAGCGCGACAUUCCACGCCCAAAUCCAGCAGUGUUUCGGCUGAUAGUUCGGUCGCUUCCUUCCUCGCUGCUCCUCUCCUCUUCCCUGCCGGCCCUCCUCUCGCAGUGUCUCGCGUCGUUCCCUAUCGACUGUGCGAGCCCUCCCUUUAUUGCUGCUGCGUAUGGGGGCAGCAGCCGCUCCGCCAAUAUUGCCGCGCUCGCAGCUGUGGCAGAUGAUAGCAGACAGCGACAUCAGCCCAUUCGAGCUAUGCCACGGGCACGCACCUGGUGCUUAAACGUGCACCCGUGCCAGCAAGCUCGGAAAUGCUUGCGUGCAAUUGCACAUGUUGAAUCGAUGUGACUAUGUGAGUACAGGAGAUGCACAUGAUGUGCUCGAUGAUUUGAUUAUGAGAGAUGACGCUACUAGUUCUGCUCCCCCGUGUCUCUUGCAGUUGGAGUGCCGCCAGGUUCAAGCAAAGCUAUUGGGCGCUCAGCUCUCUUCCUCAAGAUGAUGGCAAAGAAGGUCUGAUGAUCCCCUGGCAAUUCAUUUGUUCAAGGUUGAUUUCUGUUUUUGCAUCUCAUCCAUUUCGCUUGUGUCUGCUAACAAGUUCAACUCGUAUGUCCAAGGAGGAGACUCAAGGAGAAGGAUUGGCAUGGCUCUCACCUCCCUUGCUUAAUAGGUGCUCUCUCCUUGAGAUGUGUUUGCUUUUAAGCUGGUGGAAGGAAAAAAAGGUAGGAAAGAAAAACUCUGUAUGGCACAUGAAACAUAUUUGAGUAAUUAUUUAUCCAGCUUACUGUCGUAAUAUUAAGAAAUGCACUGAUUAUAGUGGAUUUUGUUUCAAGAUAAA